GAGGGAAUAGCUCAAGCGGUAGAGCACUAUGCUUAGCAUGCACGAGGUCCUGGGUUCAAUCCCCAGUACCGCCU
rnacentral:tRNA from 1 species